UCGGGGUGCAGCAGGCGCGAAAACUUUACAAUGCGGGCAACCGUGAUAAGGGAACCUCGAGUGCCUGUAUAUGCAGGCUGUCCAGGUGUCUAAAUAACACCUGAAGAAAGGGCCGGGCAAGACCGGUGCCAGCCGCCGCGGUAAUACCGGCGGCUCGAGUGGUGGCCGCUUUUAUUGGGCUUAAAGCGUUCGUAGCUGGGUUAUUAAGUCUCUUGGGAAAUCCGGCGGCUCAACCGUCGGGCGUCUAAGGGAUACUGGUAAUCUUGGAACCGGGAGAGGUGAGGGGUACUUCGGGGGUAGGAGUGAAAUCCUGUAAUCCUCGAGGGACCACCUGUGGCGAAGGCGCCUCACCAGAACGGCUUCGACAGUGAGGGACGAAAGCUGGGGGAGCAAACCGGAUUAGAUACCCGGGUAGUCCCAGCCGUAAACUAUGUGCGUUUAGGUGUAUCGACGACCACGAGUCGUCGAGGUGCCGAAGGGAAACCGUGAAACGUACCGCCCUGGGAAGUACGGUCGCAAGGCUGAAAACUUAAAGGAAUUGGCGGGGGAGCACCACAACAGGUGGAGCCUGCGGUUUAAUUGGACUCAACGCCGGGAAUCUCACCGGAUAAGACAGCGGAAUGAUUGCCGGGCUGAAGACUCUGCAUGACUAGCUGAGAGGAGGUGCAUGGCCGUCGUCAGUUCGUACUGUGAAGCAUCCCUGUUAAGUCAGGCAACGAGCGAGACCCACGCCAACAGUUGCCAGCACGAUCCCCGGAUCGGUGGGGACACUGUUGGGACCGCCUCUGCUAAAGGGGAGGAAGGAAUGGGCAACGGUAGGUCAGCAUGCCCCGAAUUAUCCGGGCUACACGCGGGCUACAAUGGGCAGGACAAUGGGUAUCGACAUCGAAAGGUGAAGGCAAUCUCCCAAACCUGUCCGUAGUUCGGAUUGUGGGCUGUAACUCGCCCACAUGAAGCUGGAAUCUGUAGUAAUCGCGUUUCAAAAUAACGCGGUGAAUGUGUCCCUGCUCCUUGCACACACCGCCCGUCAAACCACCCGAGUGGGGUUUGGAUGAGGCUGCGGUCGUUGCCGCAGUCGAAUCUAGGUUCCGCAAGGGGGGUUAAGUCGUAACAAGGUAGCCGUA
rnacentral:rRNA from 1 species